rnacentral:tRNA from 1 species
GCGGUUGUGGCGAAGUGUUUAACGCAUCGGAUUGUGGUUCCGACACUUGUGGUUUCGAUUCCCAUCAACCGCC